rnacentral:rRNA from 1 species
UACAGAGGUCCCAAGCGUUGUUCGGAUUUACUGGGCGUAAAGGGUGCGUAGGAGGUUGGCAAAGUCGGGUGUGAAAUCUCACCGCUUAACGGUGAAAUUGCGCUCGAUACUGGUUGACUAGAGUAUCGGAGGGGAAAGCGGAAUUCCUGGUGUAGCGGUGAAAUGCGUAGAUAUCAGGAGGAACACCAAUAGCGAAGGCAGCUCGCUGGGACGGUACUGACACUAAGGCGCGAAAGCGUGGGGAGCGAACAGG